rnacentral:rRNA from 1 species
UACGGGGGGGGCAAGCGUUGUUCGGAAUUACUGGGCGUAAAGGGCUCGUAGGCGGCCAACUAAGUCAGACGUGAAAUCCCUCGGCUUAACCGGGGGAACUGCGUCUGAUACUGGAUGGCUUGAGUUUGGGGAGAGGGAUGCGGAAUUCCAGGUGUAGCGGUGAAAUGCGUAGAUAUCUGGAGGAACACCGGUGGCGAAGGCGGCAUCCUGGACCAACACUGACGCUGAGUGAGCGAAAAGCCAGGGGGAGCAAACGGGG